rnacentral:rRNA from 1 species
ACGCUGCGCAGCUACACAUGCAGUCGAGCGGUAGAGAGAAGCUUGCUCUCUUGAGAGCGGCGGACGGGUGAGUAAAGCCUAGGAAUCUGCCUGGUAGUGGGGGAUAACGUUCGGAAACGGACGCUAAUACCGCAUACGUCCUACGGGAGAAAGCAGGGGACCUUCGGGCCUUGCGCUAUCAGAUGAGCCUAGGUCGGAUUAGCUAGUUGGUGAGGUAAUGGCUCACCAAGGCGACGAUCCGUAACUGGUCUGAGAGGAUGAUCAGUCACACUGGAACUGAGACACGGUCCAGACUCCUACGGGAGGCAGCAGUGGGGAAUAUUGGACAAUGGGCGAAAGCCUGAUCCAGCCAUGCCGCGUGUGUGAAGAAGGUCUUCGGAUUGUAAAGCACUUUAAGUUGGGAGGAAGGGCAUUAACCUAAUACGUUAGUGUUUUGACGUUACCGACAGAAUAAGCACCGGCUAACUCUGUGCCAGCAGCCGCGGUAAUACAGAGGGUGCAAGCGUUAAUCGGAAUUACUGGGCGUAAAGCGCGCGUAGGUGGUUUGUUAAGUUGGAUGUGAAAUCCCCGGGCUCAACCUGGGAACUGCAUUCAAAACUGACUGACUAGAGUAUGGUAGAGGGUGGUGGAAUUUCCUGUGUAGCGGUGAAAUGCGUAGAUAUAGGAAGGAACACCAGUGGCGAAGGCGACCACCUGGACUAAUACUGACACUGAGGUGCGAAAGCGUGGGGAGCAAACAGGAUUAGAUACCCUGGUAGUCCACGCCGUAAACGAUGUCAACUAGCCGUUGGGAGCCUUGAGCUUUUAGUGGCGCAGCUGACG